rnacentral:rRNA from 1 species
AGGAAUAUUGGUCAAUGGGCGAGAGCCUGAACCAGCCAAGUAGCGUGAAGGAUGAAGGUCCUACGGAUUGUAAACUUCUUUUAUACGGGAAUAAAGUAUCCUACGUGUAGGAUUUUGUAUGUACCGUAUGAAUAAGCAUCGGCUAACUCCGUGCCAGCAGCCGCGGUAAUACGGAGGAUGCGAGCGUUAUCCGGAUUUAUUGGGUUUAAAGGGAGCGCAGACGGGAGAUUAAGUCAGUUGUGAAAGUUUGCGGCUCAACCGUAAAAUUGCAGUUGAUACUGGUUUCCUUGAGUGCAGUUGAGGCAGGCGGAAUUCGUGGUGUAGCGGUGAAAUGCUUAGAUAUCACGAAGAACCCCGAUUGCGAAGGCAGCUUGCUAAACUGUAACUGACGUUCAUGCUCGAAAGUGUGGGUAUCAAACAGGAUUAGAUACCCUGGUAGUCCACACGGUAAACGAUGGAUACUCGCUGUUGGCGAUAUACUGUCAGCGGCCAAGCGAAAGCAUUAAGUAUCCCACCUGGGGAGUACGCCGGCAACGGUGAAACUCAAAGGAAUUGACGGGGGCCCGCACAAGCGGAGGAACAUGUGGUUUAAUUCGAUGAUACGCGAGGAACCUUACCCGGGCUUAAAUUGCAGACGAAUUACGAGGAAACUUGUAAGCCGCAAGGCGUCUGUGAAGGUACUGCAUGGUUGUCGUCAGCUCGUGCCGUGAGGUGUCGGCUUAAGUGCCAUAACGAGCGCAACCCUCGUGGUCAGUUACUAACAGGUAACGCUGAGGACUCUGGCCAGACUGCCAUCGUAAGAUGUGAGGAAGGUGGGGAUGACGUCAAAUCAGCACGGCCCUUACGUCCGGGGCUACACACGUGUUACAAUGGGAGGUACAGAAGGCAGCUACCCGGCGACGGGAUGCCAAUCCCCAAAACCUCUCUCAGUUCGGACUGGAGUCUGCAACCCGACUCCACGAAGCUGGAUUCGCUAGUAAUCGCGCAUCAGCCACGGCGCGGUGAAUACGUUCCCG